GUGCCCUUUAUGGUGGCUCAGAACUUUUUCAUUUUUACCCCCAAGACUUGUUUGUGUGGCAUUUUUGCCAUUGCACCUCAGGUAUACGUAACACAAAAGUGUUACAUUACCCCCUCCCCUGAUUUUUUUUAUUAUUAUUAAACACAUGUGGAAUUAAGAAUGUAAUAUAUAUUUUUUUAGAAUAA
rnacentral:misc_RNA from 1 species